rnacentral:snRNA from 1 species
GCCUCUUCGGAGACAUCUGAUAAAAUUGGAACGAUACAGAGAAGAUUAGCAUGACCCCUAAUCAAAGAUGACACGCACAAAUCGAGAAAUGGUCCGAAUUUUU